AAAAUAAUUUCCGAAAGAGGUUGACAAGAUGACACGGAAUAUGAUUUCAAAAUGAGCAUGAGAAAAUAAUAACUGACAAAACGGGAAGUAUCCAAGUUUUCUCAAACAUCCUAAAGUAGAGACAAUAAUUUGAGGACGUUUGAACCAGACAGAUUAAAUUAUUAAAAUAGCAUAGUGGACCAAAUUAUUUAAAAUGUUUGACAAAAUGUGCUCUAUGAUAUUCUUGAGAAAGAUUUUAAAACCAAGAAAAACAGACAUAACGAGGCCAUAACGUUAGAA
rnacentral:lncRNA from 1 species